GAUGAACGCUGGCGGCGUGCCUAAUACAUGCAAGUCGAACGAACAGACGAGGAGCUUGCUCCUCUGAUGUUAGCGGCGGACGGGUGAGUAACACGUGGAUAACCUACCUAUAAGACUGGGAUAACUUCGGGAAACCGGAGCUAAUACCGGAUAACAUGUUGAACCGCAUGGUUCAACAGUGAAAGACGGUCUUGCUGUCACUUAUAGAUGGAUCCGCGCCGCAUUAGCUAGUUGGUAAGGUAACGGCUUACCAAGGCAACGAUGCGUAGCCGACCUGAGAGGGUGAUCGGCCACACUGGAACUGAGACACGGUCCAGACUCCUACGGGAGGCAGCAGUAGGGAAUCUUCCGCAAUGGGCGAAAGCCUGACGGAGCAACGCCGCGUGAGUGAAGAAGGUCUUCGGAUCGUAAAACUCUGUUAUUAGGGAAGAACAAAUGUGUAAGUAACUAUGCACGUCUUGACGGUACCUAAUCAGAAAGCCACGGCUAACUACGUG
rnacentral:rRNA from 1 species